rnacentral:rRNA from 1 species
UACGGAGGAUCCAAGCGUUCUCCGGAUUUAUUGGGUUUAAAGGGUGCGUAGGUGGCUUUUUAAGUCAGGGGUGAAAGACGGUAGCUUAACUAUCGCAGUGCCUUUGAUACUGAAGAGCUUGAAUGAACUAGAGGUAGGCGGAAUGUGACAAGUAGCGGUGAAAUGCAUAGAUAUGUCACAGAACACCAAUUGCGAAGGCAGCUUACUAUGGUUUUAUUGACACUGAGGCACGAAAGCGUGGGGAGCAAACAGG